UGAUACAUGCCUGAAUGCUUAUGAUUGAU
rnacentral:piRNA from 1 species